rnacentral:lncRNA from 1 species
CUUCGGCAAGGACCCGGUCCAGGAAAUUGGCACAGCAGCUCAGGAAAAGAGUGCCUGGCCUCAGUUGAAAGGGGUUUUUAAAGGAAAGAAUCACAAGCAGGGUGGUAUUGCCUUAGCUGUUUAGGAUUGAGUAAGAGUAGGUAACCUUUGGAUUCACUGACGUGGGGGCUAGGGAGAUUUCAAAAUUGUUACUAACAGUAGCCCACAAGGACAGUUGUGAGGUGAAGAUGUUAUUUAUCAAAAUUAGCCAUUGCCUAACUGCCCAGAUGGGGUCAUUUUGACUGGGGUAGGCACAGUUUAGGUGCUCCUUGGAACUGUUUAUGGCUCCUUGGUUGGAGCUGAAUCAGCCUUGUGCCACACAGGCAAUUUCUCAAGAUGGCUUUUUCUAAGGAUGGAGUUAACACCAUCCUCUUUGGUUUACCUUGCUCUUACAGGCAUAGGUUCUGGCAACUUUUUUGUUUUGUUUUUUUGUUUGUUUGUUUUGGUUUUUCGAGACAGUGUUUCUCUGUGUAGCUUUGAAGCCUAUCCUGGCACUCGCUCUGGAGGCCAGGCUGGUCUCGAACUCUCAGCUUGUCUCUGCCUCCCGGGUGCUGGGAUUAAAGGCGUGCACCACCAAUGCCUGCCCCGUGGUUCUGGCAACUUUUGCAGGCUCAGAAUAGUCAAUUCAAAUAACUGGUUACUUUUCUUCCCAGGGCUUUAAGUUUGUUUUUCUCUGUUUUGUUUAUGGAAACAAGUGAGGCAGCCUGGACUGGCCUGAACUUGAGAUACUACAGUUUUAGCCUCCCUAGUGCUGGGACCACAGACUCAGCUGUAUUGUGCUUUUAAAAAAAACUUUGGCUUGGCUUGGGGUCCGUUUAUGGAGACACAGUAUUUAGUUGGGGAGUUGGUAAAAUGAGAAAAUUCCUUUUAAGGUUCUGUCCAUCAGCUGUGCAAACUAGUCUCAAGGCUGCAAUCUCAAGCUAUCCUGUCCUCUGAGGUCCUAGCUGGAUCCACAGCUUCAGAGAGAGAGAAGUCAGCUAGCUGGCCAGACUGUGCUUGACAAGCUGCAGGACCUGGGUGGGAAUGAUGCCUUGUUGGGAUGUGCUGUGCGUGCGUGCGUGUGUGCGUGCGUGCGUGCGUGCGUGCGUGCGUGCGUGCGUGUGUGUGUGUGUGUGUGUGUGUGUGCUGGGGGGCAGGGAGCUUCCCUUCCCCAAGGUUGAAAGUAAAGGCCUUUUCUAGACUAGCUUCCCGAGAAAGCUGGAAGGCCAAGACUGGAGGCAUCAUGAUAACCAGCCCAUUGGCAAGGAAUUUGCCACAGAAAGGUCAUGGACCCUGCUGGACCCUUCCCAGGGCGGCCAGAGUCCACCCAGUGGGCUAUAAAGUCAGUUAGACUCAUCAAAAGGUUACAUCUAGGUGUCUUGAUCCAUGACUAUAAUUGCCAAACUUUGGAGGCUGAGGCAAGGAUCUGAGUUUGAAGCCUGCCUGGAUUAGAUGGGAGUUCUGCCAAAACCAACCCAACCCACCAGGGAUGUCCUAAGGCAAAGCAGUGGUUGAGCCAGGUACUACUUCCUGGCUAAAGAGAACUUGCUUUGGAACUAAGAGGGAUACACUAUUUGGUCUGUGGUCUCCAAGAGUCAUACUUUAGUCUGGGCACACUCAAGUUCCUGUCACUCUAGAGAAAGGUCAACACAGUGUGGUAAAAGCCUGAGGCUGUUCCUUGCUGCAUGAGCAGAAAGAGAAAAGGACAGACAGAAACCAUGGGUAGGGGUGCUUGCUCGAAGGGCUCUGUGCCAGAGAGCUUCUGUUCACAGUUGGUUUCCAAAUCCUCAAGUGAUCCGCAGAGGAGACAGCUUGUGCAGGUAAACUGAGUAAGGCUCAGCUCUGAACUCCACACUUGACUUUCUGAAGGUGUCCUGCAGACCAGAGUCUCAGCUACAUAGAUACGAUCCCCCAGUUCCCUAGGCUGGGGACACAAAGACAUAUGAGCUCUAAGUUAACAGUGACAAUAGCCACCAUUUAAAAGCUGUCCUUGAGUUUCUUUUGCUAACCAUCCUUUAGCCCAGCAUUGUAAACAAAAAGACAAACCCAAAUUGUUCAGAUGUUAAGGGUUAAAAAUCUGG